rnacentral:rRNA from 12 species
CUAGCUCGUCGGGAGGCAAAUCCCGGUCGUGCGCCCUCGGUCCUGACCGCCGGAUGGAAGUGAGGAGUAGGUCGGAGCACGAGAGGCAUGAAGAGGCGUUGCACAUGGCGCAGCGGGGGUCGAAUCG